rnacentral:lncRNA from 1 species
CUUUAAUGGCACGAUCUGUUGCAUCAUUAUCUUGUGAAAUGCGAGCUGAUGCUUUUGUGUGUAAAUUUUUAAUUUAGUAUGUGGAUAAUUCAGAAUGCUAAAAUGGAGAGUAAGAAACAAAGGCAUGACUUCUAAGAACUGCGUGGAUGUUUGAAAAUUCCAUUGGAGUGGCUUCUCUCCAAGGUAUAAUGGCUGGGGAGCUGAGGAAAAGAUGCCAACCCAUCCCAGGACUAAUUCUUUUCUUGGCAAUGUCAAGAGCCUGAAUGCGCUGUGGGCCUUUUGACCUAGAAAACCCAAGUUCAUUUCAAGUGGAACUAGAAGGAGCUAACUGACUAACUCAGG